rnacentral:rRNA from 1 species
GGGGNNNNNNNUAUCNCCCAAAUCCCUUAAGUUGAUCAUGGCUCGGAUGAACGCUAGCGGCAGGCUUAAUACAUGCAAGUCGAGGGGCAGCAGGGGUGUAGCAAUACACUCACUGGCGACCGGCAAACGGGUGCGGAACACGUACGCAACCUACCCAAAACUGGGGAAUAGCCCGGGGAAACCCGGAUUAAUACCUCGUAACAUAAUGGAGUGGCAUCACUUUAUUAUUAUAGCAUCCGGCGGUUUUGGAUGGGCGUGCGCCUGAUUAGGUAAUUGGCGGGGUAACGGCCCACCAAGCCUACGAUCAGUAACUGGUGUGAGAGCACGACCAGUCACACGGGCACUGAGACACGGGCCCGACUCCUACAGGAGGCAGCAAUAAGGAAUAUUGGUCAAUGGACGCAAGUCUGAACCAGCCAUGCCGCGUGAAGGAUGAAGGUCCUCUGGAUUGUAAACUUCUUUUAUAUGGGACGAAACCCUCGGAUUCCUCCGGGAUUGACGGUGCCAUAGGAAUAAGCACCGGCUAACUCCGUGCCAGCAGCCGCGGUAAUACGGAGGGUGCAAGCGUUAUCCGGAUUCACUGGGUUUAAAGGGUGCGUAGGAGGGCAGGUAAGUCAGUGGUGAAAUCCCCGAGCUUAACUUGGGAACUGCCGUUGAUACUAUCUGUCUUGAUACCGUGGAGGUGAGCGGAAUAGUCAUGUAUCGCUGAAUGCUUGAUAUGACUANAACACCAUUGCGACGCACUCGCUACACGAUAUUGAUCUGAGCAGAAGCGUGGGACAA